AGCCAUGCAUGUUUCUGUUAUAAGGACAAAUAGCUCAGUAAAACUAAGUUUAUUUACCCUCGGCGGGAGAUAACCUGGAGAAAUUCAGGCUAAGAACGAGGAUAAGGCUUAGGACUAUCAGCUAGUUGGUAGUGUAACGGACUACCAAGGCGACGACGGUUAACGGGAUACGAGAGUGUGAUACCGGAGAGGGAGCCUGAGAGAUUGCUCCUACGUCCAAGGACGGCAGCAGGCGCGAAAAUUGUCCACUCUUGCAGGAGACAGUUAUGAAAAGUAAAAAAGAUAGGUUUUGUAAAGAAAAAUUCUAAAAUUGGAGGGCAAGUUUGGUGCCAGCAGCCGCGGUAAUACCAACUCCAAGAGUGUGUAUGAGAGUUGUUGCAGUUAAAAGGUCCGUAGUCGUUAAUUUAAAUAAAACGUAGAGUUUGGGUUUAAUGUGGAGGGGCUGAUGGGGACCAUAGUAUACAAGGGCGAGAGAUGAAAUGUCAAGACCCCUUGUGGACUCAGCGAGGCGAAAGCGGUGGUCUAGUAAGUACUCGGUGAUCAAGGACGAAGGGUAGAGGAGCGAAAGUGAUUAGAGACCGCUGUAGUUUUACCAGUAAAAGAUGCCGACUAUCCUGGCGCGUGCGCAGCGCUUGCGCAGGCCGCGCGGGCUGGGAAUAGAGAAAUCGAUAAGUGUUCGGGCUCUGGGGAUAGUAUGCUCGCAAGAGUGAAAAUUAAAGAAAUU
rnacentral:rRNA from 1 species